AUUGAACGCUGGCGGAAUGCUUUACACAUGCAAGUCGAACGGCAGCACGGAGAGCUUGCUCUCUGGUGGCGAGUGGCGAACGGGUGAGUAAUAUAUCGGAACGUGUCCAAUAAUGGGGGAUAACGAGUCGAAAGAUUCGCUAAUACCGCAUACGCCCUACGGGGGAAAGCAGGGGAUCGUAAGACCUUGCGUUAAUGGAGCGGCCGAUAUCUGAUUAGCUUGUUGGUGAGGUAAAGGCUCACCAAGGCGACGAUCAGUAGCUGGUUUGAGAGAACGACCAGCCACACUGGAACUGAGACACGGUCCAGACUCCUACGGGAGGCAGCAGUGGGGAAUUUUGGACAAUGGGGGCAACCCUGAUCCAGCCAUUCCGCGUGAGUGAAGAAGGCCUUCGGGUUGUAAAGCUCUUUCGCAAGGGAAGAAAACUUAUGAUCGAAUAAAUCAUGAGGUUGACGGUACCUUGAUAAGAAGCACCGGCUAACUACGUGCCAGCAGCCGCGGUAAUACGUAGGGUGCGAGCGUUAAUCGGAAUUACUGGGCGUAAAGCGUGCGCAGGCGGUUUUGUAAGUCGGAUGUGAAAUCCCCGGGCUCAACCUGGGAACUGCGUUCGAAACUGCAAGGCUAGAGUGUGUCAGAGGGGGGUAGAAUUCCACGUGUAGCAGUGAAAUGCGUAGAGAUGUGGAGGAAUACCAAUGGCGAAGGCAGCCCCCUGGGAUAACACUGACGCUCAUGCACGAAAGCGUGGGGAGCAAACAGGAUUAGAUACCCUGGUAGUCCACGCCCUAAACGAUGUCAACUAGUUGUUGGUAGAGUAAAAUCUAUGAGUAACGUAGCUAACGCGUGAAGUUGACCGCCUGGGGAGUACGGUCGCAAGAUUAAAACUCAAAGGAAUUGACGGGGGCCCGCACAAGCGGUGGAUUAUGUGGAUUAAUUCGAUGCAACGCGAAAAACCUUACCUGGCCUUGACAUGUACCGAAUUGAGCAGAGAUGU
rnacentral:rRNA from 1 species